GCCCUACCCUAGCUACUUACUAGUAGUAGUAGUAGUAGCAGCUCCGACGAUCCGUCCGUCGUCGUCAACCUCCGAUCUCAAGCUCCUUCUAGACAGGACUACUGAAUGCUGACUCCAUUGUUUUCGUUUCGCAGCAAGGUGCCGACAGGCAGCUGUGGUUCGCGUCCAAGCAGUCCCUCUCCUACCUCGAUGGCACGUACGUACCUCUGCUCACACGCACGCACGCACGCAGCAAAACCUUCUACUAGCAAUGGCAAUCUAGUACACAACACAUAUGCUCACCGGCGUCAUUGCUGCAGGCUGCCCGGCGACUAUGGAUUCGACCCGCUGGGGCUCUCGGACCCGGAGGGCACCGGCGGCUUCAUCGAGCCCAAGUGGCUGGCCUACGGCGAGGUGAUCAACGGGCGCUUCGCGAUGCUGGGAGCGGCGGGCGCCAUCGCCCCGGAGGUCUUCGGGAAGCUGGGCAUCAUCCCGCCGGAGACGGCGCUGCCGUGGUUCAAGACGGGGGUGAUCCCGCCGGCGGGCACCUACAACUACUGGGCCGACUCCUACACGCUCUUCGUCUUCAACAUGGCGCUCAUGGGCUUCGCCGAGCACCGCCGCCUCCAGGACUGGUACAACCCGGGCUCCAUGGGCAAGCAGUACUUCCUCGGCCUCGAGAAGUUCCUCGCCGGCUCCGGCGACCCGUCCUACCCCGGCGGCCCACUCUUCAACCCGCUCGGCUUCGGCAAGACCGAGAAGGAGAUGAAUGAGCUCAAGCUCAAGGAGAUCAAGAACGGCAGGCUCGCCAUGCUCGCCAUCCUCGGCUACUUCAUCCAGGGGCUCGUCACCGGCGUCGGCCCGUUCCAGAACCUGCUCGACCACCUCUCCGACCCCGUCAACAACAACGUGCUCACCAGCCUCAAGUUCCACUAGAACGUCCGUUGGUUGCUGCAUCAUACCUGUUGUUCAUAUGCUCUGGCUUGGCUGAUGCAUGGAAAGGAGCCUGAAGCGUUGCAUCAGGACUCAUGGCCAGCCUGCUGCUGCUUGUAACAAAUUAGUAUUGAUCUUGUUGAGACCACAAACUAUAUUGCACAUGGUAAAUCAAUGUACAAUUCCCUCCCUAGACGCUGAAAAAUUGAUCUUAAGGGCACACAUCCCCUAGGCAUCCAAUGGUGGAUGCACGUGGGGAUGUAUGUGUAGCAGAACUGCAGAAGAGAGCAUGUACUCUAUGUGUAUUCAAUGGUGAUGCACAUGGGAGCACGUAUGCUUAGAGACAAAACAGCAUUACAUUACCUUCCCUUCUGUUUUUUGUCAAUAUUUGCGGCCAAUGAAAGAGCGAAGUUUUGUAUCAUUUCACGGUGCUAAUUAACCUACCCUAGCAAAAAUGAGUAUAUCUGGUUUAGCAAAAUUCUUUUUUUUUUUUAGUUUGAGGAUCUAUGAACAAGUAUAAUUUACUCAUAGUACAAAAAUACUUGGAGAGUGUUUAGUGGAGCGUUUAGUGGAGCUCUCAAGCAGCUUCUAGCUUGAAUCUAGGAAGAUGUCCAAACAUUUUUUUAUAGAAAAGUUUUAAAAUAAACUAGAAGGUUAGAAGCUAAAAGAAGUAGUUUCUUCUAAUUCACUUAUGCACACAAUCACUUUUGACAUACAGUUCAUCCUAAAGAAUCAAUUCUUUCAUAUAAUCACUUCCUUAAUUAAAAACUAGCGACGACAGCUAUCACCGCCGUUUAUAGUGAUAAAAACAGCCAUCAUUGUUGGUUCGCAUUACAAACUGACGAUGAUAACCAAAAAGGUAUCACCGUUGAUUUGUUUGCAGGGCCAAUAUAAAGACCAAAACACUCAGACCAUAACCCCACCCCACUCUCAUAGAGCCACUGCCCCUCCCCUCUAGCCUACCCUCUUUCUCUCCCUUGCACCUCUCAACCAUUGUCUCUAUCUCACCUAUCCCUCGGACGCCCAUCUUUCGACUCCAGGCUCCCACUCCUCCAGGGCGGAUGUACGGCCCGUGCUGCCCGGGCUGUAGCACGGGACGAAGCUUAAAUAACAGUAGAGAAUUGUUUCAUAAAAAACACAUAAAAAGGCUAUUAAGCCCAUUAGCCCCCCACGAUAGGGAUUUAACCUAUUAGCCUCUGUUAUUUAGCCUCUCCUGUGCUUCGUUUCUGAAUCCGCCACUGCACUCCUCCCUCCCCCUCUCCCUCUAACUAGCAUGGUGCGGUAGUGAGAGAUGGCGGAGGUAGCACCGGGACCCGUAACCAACAAUGAGCUGAACAUAUAUAUAUAGUGUCUAUCUUCGUUCAGCCUCCCCUUAUUAAGGCCUGCAACCAUAAGAACAUGUAUGGAUCAAAUCUAAAUCUCAUGUCUACAACUGUAGGAACAAUUAUGAAUCCAAAUCUCAAUCUCAUAUCUACUAGUUGGAUGUGAAAAUUUAGACGCAACCAUUGAAAUUUAAAUGUUAAACUUUUGACGUUGCCUCUAGGCAGCCCACAAUGAGUCUACCUUGCCUCCAAGCCUAGUCCGCCAUAGGUAUGUCUUUAAGCUCAGCCCACCAUGGGUUUGCCUUUAAGCCCAGCCACCGAUGGGUCUGCCUCCACCUAAGCCACGGUCUAUGAUGCUAAUUAUGUAAUAAAUUGUUCGCCUCAUCAUUGCCAAAGCCUCGUGAUAAACCUAAACCUCGCUGCUGCUAAAGCCUUCAUAUAUCUAAUAUCCCUUCGCCAUCCACUGCCUCUUCUCUACCAUCCCUUAGCCUCCACCAUGGUCAGGUUUUGGGAACCAUCUUCCUACACAUGUGAGACUUCCCUUUGAUCAUCUAUAUUUUACUAGAAUCGUGCCUGUGCGUUGUAACGGGAAAAAGAUUUUGUUCUAAUAUUUAUAUUGUACAUCGUUCUAAUGUUUUCACGGUGUUCACAUACAUUGGCUUCAUACAAAAAAAUCAUGCAUUAUGAGUUGCGUGAAAGGUUCUAAAAAAGUCUAUAUUGUUAUCUCCAACAGUUUAUCUAGAAAUGUUUUUUGUUAAGACAUAUAGGGCUUGAUCUUUCCUGUUAAGAAUGUAUUGAUUAUAAUGACAUUUUUUAACUUUAUUAUUGUACAUAUAUAGGACAUGGCUUUAGGGACACUCACAAGGAAAAGAAGCUUCCAAGUUCAUACUCUGUUUCCAUUGCAAACGUUCUAAUUUGCUGCCUUUUCUUUUCUUGGCACAAACUCACUUGCCAAAGCAAUCGCACUUCAUACAGCAUUACGUUGCAAUGAAAUGAGAUGAUCGCGGGAGAGGAAAAAAAAAGUAGUCUGCAUUCUGUCCUAACACUGCAUGUGUCGCCUAGAUAGAAACGCAGGGCACGGCGGAGGGACGCCAAGAUUUCGCCGGCCGUGUCGUCUCCUCUUGCUAGUCCCCGUUCGCCCCUCGGCCGUGCGCCGGCGAGGUGUAGUAGAAGGUGACGCCCCUGCCGUUGGCCGCCUGAAGCGGCCUCGCGUUGCUCCUCGAGUCCUGCACACCAAACAAAAAAGCCACACACACAUCUUUCGUCAGCGUAUACACACCACCAGUGUACUUACUACUGCAAACUCUUCGACGCAAUGGCCGGCGGUGAACGAACGGAUGGGUGGGUGCUUACGUCGUCGACGGCGUUCCGCAGCAGCCUGAUCUGGCGCCGCGUCACCCUCCGUGUCUGCACGCAGUGGCGAAGCUAGAGUAAAUUAGAGAAUGAUGCAGUUCUCUAGCAAAUAUGAAAUUUUAAAGUGUAACAAUGAUAAAAUUUUGAUUGUAAUAGUAGGUUAUUUUUAAAUUUUUAUGCUGGGUACAUGUACACCCACAACUAUGAACCUAGCUUGUGCACGCAAGUGCGCGCCACGUCACACACACGUACAUCGCCGUGCACCUCUGUGUGUAGCUGGUUGCUCGUGCAUGGAUUUUAGGAUUUAUUAAUUACCUGGUGCGCGACUAGCCACGUGACGCCCUCCGUGCAUGGCGGCGUCGUGAAGGAGCCCAUGUACUUGUAGUAGGCCAAGCUCCGGCUCACCGGCCGCCGCGGGUCCACCUCCUCGUCGAUGAGCUCCUCGUGGUCUUUCCUCCUCGCGACCCUCCGGACGUACCUCUCCAGCUGCAUGCACACAUAUAUACACGCAUGAGAUCGAUCAUCACCAAUUUGGUUGGUUGGUUGGUUGGACCGUCUUGUUCGUUUGACUGAUAAGACAUGACAGUGUACUGUUGGCUGAUUUAUUGUGAGAACCCAAGUAAACACAAAUAUUACCCUGCGAAUGGUCCUGUCGCGAUGAUGCCGCGAGACCCUGUAGAGCUGCGAGACGACGGCGUACUUGUUGUUGUUGGCGUCGCUCUGGUGCAGCAUGUGCAGCUCCAGUGCGUACCUGCGGCCGUUGAUGGUGUGCUCGCUCGGCGCGUGCCAGUGCAUCUGCCGGAGCCUGUACGCCACGCCGUCGACCACCACGCCGCCCGGGUCCGUGUUGAACCUCACCUGAAGAACACGUACGUACGCACAUGCAUGCAGAUUAUUAUUAGUUAUAACCCCUCUCGGUCGUCGUCGUCGACGACGAGAUAUAUACUUGGCUACUGGUACGUACCAUGAUGUCGUGGCCGCGGUUGACGAGGGACGCGGCGGCGGGGCGGUAGGAGCGGCCUACGUGGCCAGGCCGGUCGCUGAGCCCCGCCACGGUGUCGGUGAGGCCGAUGGGUGACUGCAUGAGCCCCACGGAGCACGUCGCCCAGUCCCUCCGGAUCAUGCCCCACCGCGCCGGCCCGUUCCCGGCGUCUCGCCGGUAGCUGAAGUCCUCCUCGUCUUCAUCCACCGAUCGAUUCCCCAGCCCAGCCAUUGCAACGCAUCAAUUAAUGGAAACCAUGCACAGCACAGACGACAGCAGCACGGGGAGCGUGCAGUGUCAGUGUCACAAGAAGCAGGAAACGACCGGAUGCACGCACGCAUGACAUGACACAACGACCAGCUGCUGCUACCGGUAACUAUUAUGCAUUAUUCAAAACAGAGCCGACUGACUCGACUCGAUCGGUCACUCACGGCGCUGCGCGCGUGCGUGCGUAAACCAGCUGGACCCGGGACGCCUACCGAGCUCCUGCGCCGCCGCCGCGCCGAAGUGGCGGACGAGCAGCUGCAGCGAGAGGUAGACGACGACGAAGGCGGCGGCGGUGGCCAGCCUGCUGCUGCUCGGAGCCGCCGCGUACGCGUACAUGGCGCGCGGUCGUCGCUUUUUUAGUGCGUGUUCUGUGUGUGCUGCCUGCUAGCUAGCUGCUGCUUGGGCCGUGGUUCAUGUGUGUGUGUGUAUGCGCAGGCAAGAAUAAGGGAUCGCCUCGCCGUGUGGUGGGGGGGGCUAAUGAAGUAGCCGUGUCCGCGAGCACGCGCGCGGGGCGGGGCGGGGCCGGGAGAAAGCGCGUGAUGAGGGCGCCGGCCGGCAAAGGCGGCCAGUCGCGCGUUGCAUGGUGCAGGAGCGAAAAGGAUCCUCUUGGGGAUGUAUUGUAUAUUGAGUGCCAAUUUUAUUUUUUCGAGCGGGCCAAAUUCUUAAAAUUUUCUGACAAAGAAAUGGCAUUUGUUUUGCUUUUCAGAGUGAAAUGAACAAGAACAUGAACCGAAGAGUGCUGUAUAUUCAAAAAAAAAAAUAUAUUUUGCUCGGCGGGCGCAUCCCGCGUGCACGGAACCCCACAUGGCACGUGCCUGAGAUACCUGACGAAGAGAGCAGAUGAACACACCCUUAAUUUAAUUCGAACCAAGAAUAACAAAAACUUAGAGGUAUUUGGUUUGAGGUGUUAAAAUUUAAUAAGUACGAUAGUAUUUUCAUUUUAUUUAAUAAUUAGUGUUUGAUUAUAUAUUAAUUAGGUUUAAAAGAUUUGUGUCACAGAUUAUUCUCUAGUUAUGUUUUUAUUUUAGUAAAUAGUAAUAUGUAUUUAGUACUCCAUGUAUGUAUCUAAAUAUUCAAUGCGCUGUGAGUUAAAAAAAAUUAGCAGGAACCAAAUAGGGCCGAAGCCUCGUAUUGGAAUGUGGUCGGUCAUCAACGAUCGAAGAAAGACAUGAAUGUUUGAAACAUAACACCUUAGGGCCUUGUUUAGUCGAGAAAACAAAAUCUCAAUAUCCGCCGCGUGACUCGUUAUCAAGGGUUCACUUGAGUUUUUUUUAUCAUGUUCAUAUUAGGUUAAAGGCACGAGAUGAUGUUUUUUCCUUGCAUAAUUGCUAGUCUCUUUCAUUCUAAAUUAUAAGAUAUUUUUUUUAUAAAUACAUAGUUUCUUAUAUGCACUUGCAUAUACACUAUAUCUAGAUAUAUAAUAAAAAUAAUGUAACUAAAAAAACCAAAAUGUCUUAUAAUUUAGAAGGGAGAGAGUAUUUAUUUAUUUGUAAACUGAUCAUAAAUUAGCUGGUUGGGUUCUUUGUGGUGGAAUCUAUCCACUCGGGUUUAAGUUCUCAACUUGGCACGAGCGCUCGUUUUUUCCUGGAUUUAUUUCAUGAUUUAACGGCACAUGCUUUUAGUAAUAAGCGGCGUCACCAUCGACAGUGAGACGUUUGUGAUGACUUCGUGAAUCUCGUGACCUGUCGACUCAGUCCUUCGGAGGUACUCAUAGGGGUAGAGUUUAGGUACAUGUAUUUAUAAGGGUGAGUGUGCGUGAGUUGUGAGUGUUUGCGUUAUACUAUGUAAUUCUAAAAAAAGAGUAUUUAUUUAUUUAUUUAUUAUCAUAAUAGCAUGAUGGGUAAGUAGAUGAAAAUUUAAGGGGUAACUUUAUGUUAUGUUUUUGUAAUGGAAUAGGUGGGUAGUUUAGAUGUAACUCUAGAGAUUUUCUUUAUAUACUUUCUUCAUGACAAUAGAUGUGGGUAAUGUUUAAAAAAACAUAUUAGAUCAAACUAUUAUUAUUAUCAAUGGUAAUUAAUUAGAAUCUAAUCAAUUGAUGACUAUAUCUUUUUAAUUAUUAUGAUAAUUUAUAUUCUUCUCAUUGGGUACCUUCUAGCUAGCUAAACACUUCAUAUAUUUAUUUUUAAGUAUAUAAGGUCGGAUCGGAUGAACAUGCAUAAACGUUGCUGGCCUAAUUUCGUUCUCUGAGUCUCUCUUUUCUCAUUGGGCCAACCACUCACUAUGCUAACGAGCCCAGUCCAUCAAGUGGCCUCAGAGGCCCAGGAACAAUCCCGUUCAUCUCUCCACGUAGUCCGGCCACGCCGCGUCCUCGUUCUCGAAGCGAGAUGCGUCGCCGCCGCCGGCGGUCCCGAGACGCGAUCCGACGGCGGAUUUGGCAUCAUUCCAGCGAGGCGCUCCACGCGGAAGAUCGAGGAAGUAUCUCCAGCGGCGAUGCCUACGGUACGUACCAAACUUUUCACCCAGUCCUCGAGUAUUCUCAAUCAUGUCAGCGCUCUUCGAGCAGUUGUUAGAUGCUUUUGGCAUUUUAUUCUGACCAAACUGAUCAACCGAAAACAAACAAACAAACCAACCAGCUCUAGCUCCAACCUCAAACAACGAAGAAUCACGUUUUUGUUUUCCACACCUGUGUCAGGACGAACAGUAAGAUAUUCAGUUCUGCCUCGUGUCUGAAUUCUGUAGCAUUUUAACCUCUAAGCUGUUUUCAGGCAUAUAAUCUGAAACAGUCAUGCUUUUUUUUUUGCGAAAUGAUAUCACGUGUGCUAAAUCUUGUUGUCUUAGCCUGUCGGAUCAUGUGACAAAAACUGUUCUGUCGUGCCCUGUCGCAUUGUGCAUGACCCUUCUCUGAAACUGGUAGGAUUCCAUGACGAGCCUGUAGCUAAAACGAGCUAUGGCCUCCUGGGGGAGUGAAUGGCAGUUGUAAAAUAUUGAAUGUUCAGUGCCGCGAUUCCCUUCACUCGCAUUGGUUGCGCACGGUUUUUUGGUUUGUUGCAACUGCAGUCAAAAGUGGCUUAGAGAGUCUUGAACCAAGUACUUGGGGAAUAUGGUCCAGCCGACCACGCAUGGGUGAAUUUACUUUGGUUGUUCCUUGAAUGGCAUCUAAGGAUUUAUUUUUGAUCUGCAGUCACAAAAGUUAACUUAGACAGCAUGGCAUCUAUACCAGUGGGCUGUGGCUUCUGUAGAUUACUCUGUUUUGUAUCAGUGUAGUCAAAGGGGACCAUGAACUUAUUAGGGUCAAAACAAUCUUGCUUUACUUUCCUUUCACCUUUUCUUUUUAUGAUAAAGUUUGCUUGUAUCCUAGCUUUUGUUCCUUUGAGAAAGUGAUAGCGGCUGGGACAUGAACCUGAUCAAAAUGGACUUGACAUGUACGCAUGGAAAUCCCAUGCCGCUAUGCUUUUGUUUCUUUCUUAGGCAUGCUGUUCAGGAACAAAAAUGUUUAUGAUGCUCUAGUCAUAAAUUCAACUAAUUCGAAGUGAUAAUUGCAAGAUAAUGGUAUCGAGGUAAACUUUGUAGAUAUUGAGCAGAGGAAUUUACUCUUGAAUCAUAUAGCAUGUACGGGAGGCCUUGAGGAAUCAAACAAAUUAAGUCUGACAAAUUGUCUGUAAUCUGUAAUGUAACCGUGGCUUAAAGUUGGUAACAGUAAGCUGCUAUUUAUUUAUAAAUAAAAGGAAAAUUACUGAUUAUUUGAGGGGUAACAGUUGUCAUGCUUUGCUUUUAGAUGGAGAAGUAGAUUAUUUGACAAUGUAGAGUUGAUUAUUGGGUGGGUGGAUGUUUUGGGUGAAUCUUAUCACACUUUACCACACAGAUAUGUCCUUGUGAUACCCUUGUUUUUUCCAUGUAGAAACCAAACAUCCUCAAGUAAAUGUAGGGUCAAUGGUACUUACCGAAAGGGGGCAACCAUACAAACAAAAUUAAGAUAGCUUGGAUCCUUGGGAUUAGGCAAAAACAUGAUUAAGCUAAGAUUUUUUGACUUUGUUCUUACGUUCGCAUAACGUAUGGCUGUUUUUAUUUCUGACCAUACCUGUACUCAUUCAGAGUUAGCAUACCAAAGAAAGGUUUGUCAAGAUCAUAACAGAGGCAAGAGGAAUAUAUCUCUGCUGAUACUUAGUUGUUCUACAUCCACAAUUUUUCAGUUGGAACUGCAAUUUGUUUUUGGUUUAUAUCUGGUGAUAAUAUCAGAAAUUUUAGUUAGGAGUUUGCUUUUCGACCUACUGUCCCAGGAUCUCCUGCUACUUUUUACUUUAUGCAGAUUUUCUUUAGGUCCUGAUUUUUAACUUUGCUAGCGGCAAAUAUUAACUUAUUCAUAGUCUCCAAAGUUUAUGAUUAAGUGGAUGGAUCCUUUACGUUUCUAGUGACUAAUAAAGCUUGCAAAUCUAAGGCAUCUACCAUGCGUAGGGUCCAGUAAUUAUUAGUAGUGGGGAUUAUUGGAGGAUUUUGGUGCAAGGCUUCAUCAUUCUCCUCAGUGCAUACGUAAAAUUCUUUUCUGAUCAUGACACACAUGUCAAUGUAGUUAUUUCAUAUUGUCAAGUUUCGCUUUGACCCAAUUUUAAUUUUUUUAGAUAAAAACAAAAUUAGAAUUCGAGGGCUUAUUAUUAUUACAUGAUACAGUAAUGUAUAGCAUGGUGCUAGUGUUGUGGCGGUGCUGCUACAUAUUCAAAUUUGAAAAGUCUCAUAGUUUAUAAGUUCAGUAUACAGUUGACCAAAAUUUUGCCUUUUGACGAGUGCUUUUAUUUAUUUACACUAUUGCAAUGUGUGUUCUAAUAAUAUCCAUAGACAGGUCUGGAGCACCGCAGCCUUCCAAGAUGCCAUAAGUGCUGCUGGUUUCCAGCUCUCUACUUCUUCCACUAAGCCUACAAAGUUUAAUGUCACCAUCAGUUUGAUCCAGAGCAUCUUGAGCAUUAUCAUCCUUUGUUGGACCCUGCCUUGUUCCAUUCAAAUAAUAGCCAUUAAAAGUCCAAGACACUUUUUACACAAAUAUAUUCUCACAGCUAGAGCAUCAAGAAAAGGCCAAAGAAGAUUUGAAGUAUAGGAAUGAUAGUUGUCUCUACGAUUAGGAUCGAAAAGAUUAACUAAUCGUUAAAAGUGGUCUGGGAUAAGGGAAUCUUGGUAAGUUGCCAAUUAAAAAUUGAUGGCUAGCUUGGUUGAGCACAUUGGUUUUUUGACUUUAGUUCCGUUCUUAUCACAUCAAAGUUCAACUAGAUUACGUGACUAGCUGUAGGGAAGAUCAAGUGAAGCAUUAAAACCUAUUUAGGAAGUUCAAUGUAUGCACAGCCUGCACUUUGCCUGUGUGGAUGGACAUGCCUUUAAGCUCCAUGAUGCUUCUAUAGCUUCUAUUAGUUGCCCUCUUGGACCAUGCAUGUUCUAUAUUGUUCAUGAUGUUGUGAAUAUAAAUAUGUUAUAUAGCUAGGAUAAAUCUAUAGAUUGGGGACUGAUUUGACUUGCUCCCGUCCAUUUCAUUCAUAUUUUUUCUUCUUCUUGGUGCUGCCUUCCAAAUGAUGGAUUCGCCCUUUAAAUCUGUAGCAAGGUUGAGUGUUUAUAGGGGGACCAAGACUGCAUUUUGCUCUAAUUGUAUAUUUCUCAUUGGUGCUAAACCAAACUUAUAGUGCAAUACCCUCCUACGUACCUUUGACUUUGGAUGUAUGAAAUAAUCCCUACCUUACAUUCAUCUUUUUGUCACCUUUUGACGUUUCUACGAAUCAAUCCCCUUGUGGCACUGCAUCUUAUUAUUGUACAUAGACAUGUUAUGUUCAUCAACUUUCUCCAUCCAAAAAGGGUAUAAUUUGAGAUUUAAACAAAUCAUUUUUUCUUAAAUUUGACUAAUUAAGUUUAUACAAAAUAAUAUUAAUAUUUAUUUCUUCUAAUAGGCUUACUAUGUAUUUAGUGUUAAUUAAUAUCAUAAAUGCUAUUUUUGAACUUAAAAUUGUUGACGAAAAUUGCAUCCUUUUUGGAGUAUGUCAUCUCUUGGUCAAGCUACUUGCAUAGCAUUUUCUCCUCCUAAAGGAGGCAAUCUUUUUUGCACAAAUAAGUAGAAACGAUCGAUUCUUUUUGAAAGAAUCACAGAACAAUUCUGAAUACUUGUUUUUAGGCAGAGGACAAAUCUGAAUGCUGGAACCACUCGUUCCAAGUUCCUGUCAUGUCCCACAGCUGGCCGUUGGGCCCGCUAGUGACCACGCCUACAUUGCAUUUUUUGGGGCAGGUAAACAGCUAGCUACCUUUCAAAGAAAAAAAAUUGAGAAAAGAAUCUGGAUGUCAGUUUUGUACGAAAACUAUGGUUUUAGUGACUAAUAAUUUACUUCUUGUGAUGAUUUAACAAUGUAUGGCCACUUGGGAAUAUUCAAGUCCUAAACUAACCCUUGUCUUUGUUUUCCAGAAAAUAGGCAGACAAGUUCAGGAGAAACUUACUCGUUGGAGGAAUAUGUUUAUGUUCAGAGAAACAUGAUCUUGGGUUGCUUUGCUCCGUGCUUAAGGCUUGUCUUCAAAAUCCAAAAGCUGGUUGACUUUAUAUUCGUAGACAAUGCUACUAGACCGUGCAAGGUGGCCACAUCACGGAUCUUCUGUGAAGUGCUUCUGUAAACAACCAUUGGGUGCAAGGUAUUGUUCUGUGCUACUGACAGGUCCAAGCUUGCUGCUGCUUGUUCAUCCGGUUCAUCUCUACUCCACAGGGCAAGUUGGCCUCUGGGUCUUUUCACGAUUCCUUGUGAUUCAGGUCAGACAACUAAUGAGCUAAGUUUCUCUAUAACUUUUUUUUUACAACCCUUGCUCCUCAUAUAUUGUUGUUUUACUUGUCUAUAUACCAGUAAGUAAACUAGGACGCAAAAUGAUUGCUGACACUGCACGUACAGAUUUAUGACUUUUAUUAACAUUGUUGCUCCGUGUUAACUUGAAAAACAUAUGUCAAAUAUACUCGUAGCAAUAAUAAUCCAUAAUAGUUUGUGUGUUCUUUCUGGUGUAAACUGACUAGUGUUCAAAUGACGCAGGAAGUAGUUUUACUUGACCCAGUCUCUAUAGCUUAGAGAUUUGAUCCAAGUACUAGUGGAGAAACAUGGUUCUAGGCUCUAGUAUCAACCCACAACAUCAUUCUCUCUGGUAACCUUACACGAGGGCAAGGCACCUAGAUAGGCAAACAAAUUACACUAGACGCGAAACAACCGCAGUGGAUCCUUUCCCCUGCUGUUGUAGGACGACAAGGGCAUGUUUUAAUAAUUACAGCAGCAGGGGACAACGAUCAAUCGGCUGUGAGGCUGCCUGAGUGCCUGUCCCCUCAUAUCUCUCUCACCUGGCGUCCUGGCCACAGGCCACACCGUGUAGUACUACUGGAGAGCGUGGGCUGAAUGCGAUAUAAAAAUUUCAUAAAGAUUUGACGUGACCCUGCACUUGGAGAAUUUUUUAUAUUAGGGCCUUGUUUAGUUUCAAAAAAUUUUGCAAAAUUUUUCAGAUUCUCCAUCACAUCGAAUCUUUAGCCGCAUGCAUGGAGUAUUAAAUAUAAAUGAAAAUAAAAACUAAUUGCACAGUUUGAUCGAAAUUGACGAGACGAAUCUUUUAAGCCUACUUAGUCAAUGAUUGGACAAUUUUUGUCAAAUACAAACGAAAGUGUUACAGUAUCGAUUUUGCAAAAAAUUUUGGAACUAAACAAGGCAGUUCACCUCAAAACCAAAAUGUUUGCAAGAUUCCCCGUCACAUCGAAUCUUAUGGCACAUGCAUGAAACAUUAAAUAUAGAUGAAAAUAAAAACUAAUUACACAGUUUAGCUGUAAAUCACGAGACAAAUCUUUUGAUCCUAGUUAGUCCAUGAUUAGAUAAUAUUUGUCAUAAACAAACGAAAGUGCUACAGUACCGAAAUCUUUUCACUUUUUAGAACUAAACAAGGCCUUAGCGUUCUCCUCCUCUCAAAAAAUUGUUAUUGUUGACUUUGGAACAUCUUAUUUAACCAUCUGUCUUAUUAAUUUUUUUAUAAAUAUUAUCCAUUUUAAUGUAAAUUAUUUGAUCAUUAGAGAUACUUUAAUAAUAAUUUAUUUAUUUUAUAAUUUGAACAUAAAUUUUGAAUAAGAAAAACGAUGCCUCAAAAUAAAAAAUAUUUUUUUUGAGAGGGAGUACAUACUACUGGAUGAAAGGCUCCUAGCCAGGCUAGGCUGGAUAUAGCUCACCCCGCCCCUGCCUGGGACCUUCUGUUCUUUUUUUUCCUACGACUUUUCUCUUCAGCAACCAGCAGUAUGGCAAUUCUGUUUCGGUCGAUUGGUCAGAUCCAUCGUAGUUUGGAGCUCAACCUUUGUACACCUACUGUCGUGUACGGAGUACAUGAGUUGCUCAGGAGUAGUAGUAGCAGUAGUAGGAGUACAGAGUACUGGCUGCUGGUUGUUGAUAACGGAUACUGACUGCCUCGUUGUUAGUGCGGCAUGUAGCUACUUGUACAGCAUUCAAGUGUAUGCGAGCUAAGUGCCAUGAAAAUCAGGCCUUGUUUAGUUCACCCCGAAAUUCAAAAAGUUUUCAAGAUUCUCUGUCAUAUCGAAUCUUGCGGCAUAUGCAUUAAACAUUAUAAAUAUAGACGAAAACAAAAACUAAUCACACAGUUUGACUGUAAAUCGCGAGACGAAUCUUUUGACGCUAGUUAGUUUAUGAUUGGAUAAUAUUUACCACAAACAAACGAAAAUGCUACAGUAGUGGAAUCUAAAAAAAUUCACAUCUAAACAAGGCCUCAGUUCAAUUUCUAUAGGAUUUGAGAGGGAAAACACAAAUGAAACCUUGAUUGGGGUUCAAUUUUUCUUAGGUCCUGUUCGUUUUGCUCCUAAACCAAGAGGGUUGAGAGGGAUUAAAUCCCCUACAAGUCAAAAUCCUCCUCAAUAUACCCUUCAAUCCCUCUUAAUCCCCAUGGGAUGAAAAAUAAACAAAGGCUUUAAAGUUAGUAAAAGCAUAUAUAUAAUUGGUGUCGCAAGGAAAAAUUAGUCCCGUUAAUUGAAAUAUGCUGCCUGCAACAAAGAUGGGUCAGAUGUGUGUGUGGGUGAUAUUAAUGUCUAGUUUAUAUCCUAAUUCUUGCCAUUUAGUUUAUGCUCUUUAUUGUUUUGGUGCUUUACACACUUAAAUUUUUUAAAAGAUAAAAGAUGAACCAACCUUGGUGCAUACAUCCACACCCUCAAUUAAUUGGGCUGGCUUAGUUUCUUAAAUUUUACACAUGUAUUCACAUUUUUUUUAUAAACAUGUUACAUAGAUGUGUCAAAAUCUUUUUUUUUGGAUGUAGUAUCUUUGUAAUAACAUGUACUACCUGCAUUCCAAAUAGCCAGUUUUGGGUUUGUCACAAGUCAACCUAUUUUAAAUUUACCAGCUUCAUAGGAACAGCUGCUAUAUCAACUAAGUAUAUUGUGAGAAUUUAUUUCAUAUUUUACCUAAUGAUACUUAUUUGGUAUUCUAGAUGUUGAUAUUGUCUCCUAUAAAUUUAUUUAAACCUAACAGAGUUUGACAUAGCUAGGACACUCAGAAUUAGCUGUAUAUAUUAAUUAUUAUGGGAUAUGAAGGGAGGAGCUAUUUGUUUAUGAGUAAUCUAGAGUCUUGUAUGAGUACUCUAGUGAGUUUUGGAUGCCUUUGCAUAUCUAGCAAAGGUACGUGGAUCGGAAAGGAUAGCCCGUGUCAUGCAUCACCAGUAUUUUAUGCCAAAGAACUGAGAGCCGACCAAUAGCAUAUUUAAUCUUUUUUACUUCAAAAGUAAUAGCAGAGCAUCUCUUUUCUUAUAGACAUCCUGUGAUUCAUAUUGAAAGUGGAUAUUCGCGCUGGUGAUGAUGAGUUGAUUUCAUGAGGAUGUUUCAAUGCUUCUACACGUCAAACCAAGUACAGUACUUGAUUUGCUAUAUAUGUCUCUAAAAGACUAAAUAAAGGAAGAAAUAAUUAAUCUACUGCACAAGAUUUAUCAUGGAACAAGUUGUCAGAACGACUUUUAAGUUAUUUUGAAGUCCUUAUAUGAGCUUAUCUUCUGGUGGUACAUAUUUAAGUGAUUAACUUCCUAUAUAUAUUAGCUAAUCUAAUAGGGUAUUUAAUAGAAGAAUGUAUGGAGUUUCUUGUUAGUAGUUUCUUGCCCCCGAAGUGAGGUUUCCUAGGUGUUAACUGGUCCUACAUGCUAUAAGCGAGUGUGAUUGCAUAUCACUUCAGCCAUCUAAUAAUCUACAUUAUCUUCUCCCAUUCCAUUUUUCUUUAUUAGCUGAAUCAUUUUCAAUGUGUUUAAAGUUUUCUUUACUAAUAAACACCAUCCGGUAUAGACUACUAAAAUGCCAUGCCUUUUUUCUUUACCAUCACUUCUAAAUGUGUUCUAAGACUUGUCCAAAAGUAAUUAGCAUGCAUGAUUAGUUACCGUCUAACCUAUUACUGAGUGCAUGUAUGCUCCUAGCCGUACAAGUAAUGUCUCUUUUUUCUUAUACACUCCCUCUGUACCUGUAAAGAAAGUGGUUUAGAAUAAUGAUACGGUCUCUAAAGCCUAACUUUGACUCCUUGUUUUUAUAAAAAUAUUUAUCAAAAAGUGGUAUAUAUAUGUUUUUAUAAAAGUAUUUUUCAAGACAAAUCUAUUUAUUUUUAUAUUUCCAAACUCGACAACUUAAAAGUUAUUUAUAAUUUAUAUAUUCCUAAUGUUUGACUCAAACCUUGUCCAAAACGACUUUCUUUUGUCGUUGUCUUCCUAAUAAAGAGAGCUAAUGAUAUACGCCAUGUUCUACAACACUAUUUUAGUAUUACUUUUUAAUGAAUGAACAAUGUUUUUCUCUCCCAACAUUUCAACAUAACCAGCAGCAUAAUCCAAGUUCCUAGCAUAAGCAACAGUAGAACUCUUGCGAACUCAGCUCACCUUUCGUCUUUCAUGGCAUGUGCAAUCGUGCAUGGUACAUCUCAUCAUACAUUACUACAAGAUCUGAUCUUUCUCUCAUGUGAAUCCGUGAGACUGUGACCGCCAGAUGCGCACAUUACUCUGACCCUCUUGACUUUGGUGCCAUGGAGAGAAGAUCCUGAAAGAUGUUUGUUCGUUUGACUUUUGCCUAUGUGUUGUGUUGUUGGGAACUGGGCAAGGGGCAAGGAGUUGUUGGGUGCGAUGAUCUGACGGGAUCGAACUGGAGUGUGUUAGGUCUGCAUCUUUCUUGCAGAGAGCAGAAAAGACACCCCAGGCCAUUGAUGAAAGGCUAGAGUUCUCUACUAUCAAUGGGUUCAAGUGGUUGCUAGUUUUAAGAACCCUAUUUGAGAUGGAAUAAUCCUUUUCUAUCUGUUGCAUUACAUCAGAUGUCAAGUCUCCGACUGGAAGCACAUGGAACAGUUUGCACUCAUAGCAGGUUCAACCAUUGGCUGGCUACAUAGGAUUAGGAGAGGGGAGAGAGACAGAGCGAAAUAGGAGAGAGAAUAUAGAAAAGGCUAUGCAAAAAAGUGGCAGCAAAAAAACAAUAUGAGUGGGGGCGAUAUACCUUUUGUAGAUUUGUUUGCGUUAACAAUUGCCAUGUCCUCUUUGGGCUAAUAUAAUCCUUGUUAGUUUAUCUCUCCUUUUGGCAUGCAUGGACCUUUGGUCCCCAUUCGUCCUUGAGUGUGCUCCCCCUCUCAAUAGCGUGGCUUUCCCUUCCUUCAACUCCACUCAAGACUGUGCUCCUCCUAGCUACUUAAUCUUGAUGCCAAGCAACGAGGCUGCUCCAAACCUCGAUCAGCUUCCUCUUUCUCAUUCUCUCACAAACACAUAGUACUCCUACAUAUCAGGAGCGCUGUUCAUCAAGGAGUGGUCCUGGGAGAGAUGCUGUACCAGCGGGGUUAGAUUUUGGAACAUGUCAAAUCACAGCAUUUGAUGCACCAGGAGGUAAAGUCACAAGUUUUUUCUCUGUUUUUUUUCUUCGUUUCAACUAUUACUUUUAUCUCUACUGUUUGAGUGACGCGUGAGAGAGUGAGAGCCAGCUGCUUCUGUUUGUUGCCUUGCUCACUUUGGGCAUUUCUCACAGUGGUCUCAUGCCAAGUUUCCCCUUCCUCUUCAUGCUACAUGCUUACAUGCCUUGCCUUGAGGUAGUAUGUAAGAGCAUGCCGCGGCAGGGAAGAGUGACUAGAGUAGAUUCCCUUGGUGCACACAAGUUAGCCACAGGCGCCAGUGGUAGUCUAGGGCCUUGCACACAUAUGCAAAGAUCUCUUCCCUCUUGCCACAAGGGAUAAGAUCUCUCUCCCCUAUGACUUUUUGUUUCUUUUGGCCACUGUAUGUGUAUGCUACUUGUAUUGCUCUCUGUCUCUCUCCAUGCAUGCAUAUGCAUAUAUUGCCAUGUACUAUACAUAUUCUGAUGCCAUGAGUAUAUAUACGUGUACAAAAUAUUUUUGCAGAGUUGGAAGCAAAGGGAGGGAUGAUAUCUGCAGCUGCUUGACACAGAGGCACAUGUCCCUUUUGGUGGGCAAUGAUGGUGUGCAGGUGGAGGUGAUGAUAGUUUGCCUCAUCUGGGGACUGAGACAUUCCAUCCAAGGCCGCCCAGUGUCAUGCUGCCUCACAUUCACAGCUUUCACCCCUGGCUGCUGCAAUAUUCCAUUUGUUUGCUAAUGUGUUGUAUCAAGAUGCCUUCGAUGUGAGUCCUCACUGCCCGGCCUUCUCUCUCUCUCUCUCAUGCAUCAGCAUGCGUGUACAUACACCUGCACUCACUGUUGCUUGGGCUAGGAUUGCAUGUGAUCCUGCAAGCAAGAACGUAGCCGCUAGCCAAUCGGGGACGAGUGUAGCUGCAGGUUAGGCCUUGUUUAGUUUCCAAAAAUUUUGCAAAAUUUUUCAGAUUUUCCGUGACAUUGAAUCUUUAGACGUAUGCAUGAAGUAUUAAAUAUAGAUAAAAAUAAAAACUAAUUGCACAGUUUGGUCGGAAUUGACGAGACGAAUCUUUUGAGCCUAGUUAGUCCAUGAUUGGACAAUAUUUGUCAAAUACAAACGAAUUGCUACAAUGCUCAUUUUGCCAAAAAUUUUGGAACUAAACAAGGCCUUACUUGUGGUAUCAACAAGCAUGUGUGUGCAAUGUGCAGCACUGGCAUAGCGAGCGCCAGGUGAGGGUGCGGUGUGCUCUUCUUCGAUCUCGCAUCAGGGCCGAUCGAGCCAUCAAUGGAGAUCCCACCCUGGGACAAAACAUGAUAUGGUUGGAGAGUCGGCUCUGUCUAGUCUCUAUUCACCCAUUUAAAGCAUUGCGUGUUUGUGUGCACACUCACAUAGAGAGAGAACAGACACAGAGAGAGAUGGUAGCCUAGCCGUCCAAAUCGUCAGACUAUAAUACUGUGUGCAAAUCUUUUGGAAAGGGAGCAUCCUGAGGCUUCCACAAUGAUUAAAAGAGUUCCAACUUGCACUGCCUAUUACUAUCAAGAUCAGCAAACAGGUUUCACACUAAUAUAAGCAGCAAGCUAAAACUAGGCAAAUAACAAAACAGGAUUACUGGUAUUAAUGAAAAGCCAUGCAUUCAUGCUAGCUUGCACUACUACCCAACUUAAAAGCGCGGAGAACUAUAAAAGCGUGCAAGACCAGUGUGAUCAUUAGCUAGGUGCAAAUAGAUCGACAAAACCAGUCUUCUUAGAGAAGUUCCUAUCUACUCCCUCCAUACUUAUAAAAAAUCAUAUUAGAUAAGGUUUGGGUCAAAUAUUGAAAAUAUAGAUCAUAAAUAACUUUUAAGUCAUUGAGUUUAAAAAAAAAAGAAAACCAUAUGAAUAGAUAUGUCUUGAAAAAUACUUUCAUACAAAUAUGCAUAUACCACUUUUUGAUAAAUAUUUUUAUAAAAACAAGGAGUCAAAGUUAGGCUUUGGCAAUGUUUUUCUAAACGCUAAACGGUAAACAGUCGGUCACCUCUCAUUUAGCCAUUAUUCGGGCUAAGCAGUCCAUUAAACGGCCUAAACGGAUGAUUAAACGGAAACGGUAAUACCACUGUCUAGCGUUUAAAUGGUCUAAACAGCUGUUUAGGCAAACAGUGGGCUUUGGAGACCACAUCACUGUCCUAAACGCCUUUCUUUUAUAUAGGUACAGAGGGAGUAUUGUCUAAUGAACAAAAUUAUACAUGAUCUUGUCAUAAACUUUUAGGAUGUUAAUUUGUACAGAAAAAACAUUAAUACUGCCCCAGAAAAGUGGACACUUGUCCAAUUUAACUGGUCAAACAAAGGUGCAUGGUAUGGUCACAAGAUGAUUUCCUUGCAUAAUAUAUAAGACACCAUAGUUUGAUUAUGUGCAUUACUUCCACUGGUCAACAACAUGUUACACAAAGAUCAGCUAGUUUCAACAAUUGGAUUGGAGGUAUUCUAUCCUACCUGUUUUCUUCAACCAUGCAUAUGCCCAUCGACACACGAAUAGAUAAUUUGCAAAUUAAUUUCUAUAGUGAUUUGGCUACUUGAAAAUUCAAUCUUGUGUGUAUGUAUUAUCACCAUAUAUAUGAGCUGUAGAUAGACAAGGUUUUCUUUCUAAAUAAUAUUUACUCAAUACUUACGGUAGGAAAUCCUGUACAUUUCACAACUCUUAUGGAUCCAAGCAUUGUUCUGUAGGUUGAGGCCGCUCUUCAACGACAUAAAUGUGUAGUUUGGCUCCUAGCUUAGAUCAUUUUUUUUGUUUUUGUUUAGUGUAAUAAACUUUGUUGUAUUCGGUGCUGUCUAAGACUCCCUUCCCGGCUUGGACUAGCUUGUGUUCACACUUUGUUCCCUCUUAUUAAUGAAAUACGUUCUUAGGCAUGUUUAUAAAAACAAGAGUGAGGUUCAGAUAAAAAAAACAAUAUGGUGACUUUUCAUUACAUUGACAUUUAUAUACUUGAUUAUCCACAUACAUAAACAUUUCUAACAUUCAAAAUUUGUCCAUAGAUAUAAGCAUUUCUUACCUAAUCUGACCCUCUAGUAGCUCCUCUCCCUAGCUCAUGGUUCAUACACCUACCAUUUAUGGCAUCAACUACAUGAAUAGGGAGGAGCUAAUUGCGUGAUUGAGGAGCACCAUAGUGAUUUUCUGUCUUCCUUAAUCUGUCCUAAAUAAAAAUUCUAUAAAUGGGUAUAUUUGUAGCCAAGAGAGUAAGAAACUAUAUAGUUGCUAUGAAUUCAUACAUAAUGGAAUUUUCCUCUCUACCUUUUUUCUCUUUAUAUUGCUAAUUUGAGGUUUCCCACUAUGCUCAAAAUGUCUGUUUAUGAAUAUUUCUAUUUUUGACAAAAUUGACUUUUUCUUUACAUCACCAUUCGCAUAAAAUAGUCACUAGUCUAUUUUAUGGUACAUGGUUUCCGUCUAAUCAACCAUUUACCUUGUUUAAAUACUCAUUUCCCUCAUUUAAAUGUCAAUUUAGUCCAAUGAUGGCUUCAUGGUAGGCGAUUACUGUUAGCAUUCAGUGUCCAAGAAAAAAAACAUCUUUAUAUUCAUAUAAAACUCAACCUUUUGUUUUGCACUUUUUCAUUCAUGCAAAAUUUCAUUGACAUCCCAAUUCAUGCAUUUUCUUGUGUCCUAUUGUGUUAUAUGUUGGCCCUUAGAUCUGUUUGUUUAAGCCCCUUGCAUAAUCCAAUUUAUUUCAGCUUUUACAAUUAGCUUGUAUGUUACCAAAAUGUCACCAAACAACCCAACUCAUAAUAAGUCAACUUAUAACCAAUGUUUUCCUAAACGCUAAACGGUAAACAGUCGGUCACCUGCUGUUAGCCAUUAUUCGGGCUAAACAGUCCAUUAAACGGACUAAAUGGAUGAUUAAACUGAAAUAGUGUACCACUGUGUAGCGUUUAUACGGCGUCUAAAUAGUCAUUUAGGCGAACAAUGCUUAUAACCUAGGACACUUAUGAGGGCUUUUUCGACUGCACUUAUGUGGAGCACUAGCUGCAGUGCUACACAUAAGUGCAGCCAAACAUGCCCUUAGCUUAUAUAAUCCUAUAAGCUAUCUAGAACUAACUUAUUUCAACUUUUUCCCCACACCUAUAAGUUUGAUUGUUUAACUGAUGUUGGAGUAAGCAAACUAGCUCUUAAUAGAGGUGUGUUGUACAUUGUGUUGGAGCACAAGAAACAUAAUAUCUUCGAAGCAUAUGUAAAAUCUAGAAAUACUGAGGGUUAUUUGGAUCUUAUGGGCUACUAACCAUUAGCCUUAGAUUUUGGAUGCUAAAUAGUAGGGCAAAGUAUGAGCUAAUAAGAGAUAACGGAGACUAACUGAUGGUUAGAUCCUAAUAGCACACAAUUGUGAUAAUGGGUUAAACAUGGGGCUAAACAUGAGAGUAGCAUCCAUUUUGUGUAUACACACAAGCACACGAGGAACCAAUGAUCAUCAUCCAGUUCUCCUGGCUGGCUAUGGCAUUGGAUCCAAUGAGCACGCACACGGAGAUAUCCUUACAUUGCUCAUCUGUCCAAUGUCUCUAUCCACCCAUCGUCCCAUCCAUCUGGCUAGCUAGUAGCCUUGUACUCGAUCUUUUUGUUUUUUGUUUUCCCCUUUCUUUAUUAUUAGUUAAGCACAUAUACCACAUAAAUUUGGAAUUGUUGGAUUCAUAUUUGGAAGUAUUUUUCAUAUGAUUUCAAUCGUGAACUGUUUAAUGUAUGAGAUGUUGACAAUAAAAUUAACUGAAAAGAGAAGAGAAGAGAAGAGAAGAGAAGAAAGGAGUACUAAUGUAAAGCAAGCUAGCUUGGCACAUAGUUUUUAGUAGGAGAGUAAUAGAGAUUAGUAGUUUGUUGGCUUAGCGUAACGAGUUAGCUCCAGAUAUGAAUCUCUGGUUGUUUAGGCCCACCAACACCGUACCAAUCCAUGGAAUGUUUUAGUUAGAUUCCUCCUCUAUUCCUUUAAACCUCCCCAAAAUCACACGCACCACGAUCCACCAGAUAAAAGACAACUCUCACUCCUCACCCUUGCUGCCACCUUUCCCCUCCCUUCCCUCCCACUUCUAUUCCUACUAGCUCCUAGAGAGAGAAAGCAUCCACUUCUCUCUCUCUCUCUCUUUCUUACACAAUGCAUCUACUAGUAGCUGCUACUAGUAGCUAGGCUAGGCUAUGGCCGAGUAGGUAGUGGCAAGGUACUGUGUAGGAGUAUAGCUGAUGAGGUGCUGCAGGCCUGCAGCCUCUCAGACUCUCACACAAGCACACCUCUGUAUUUUUGGCAGAUGAGGAUGUACUGUCAAGGAAGCUGCAGCUGCGAGGCUCCCAGCCCCAGCCCCAGCCUCAGCCUCCCCAGAUGCUGCUGCUGCUGCUGGACGUCGUGCGCCCCUAUUAAACCGGCCAGGAGAUGAGAUGCACGUCCUUCCACUCCACCCCCUCAUGCUCCUCGCCUGCCAUCACCGCCGACUCCGGCCGCCGCCGUUCCUCGUCGCGCCGCUGAAGAAGAUUUCAAGAAGCUCGGCCUGGGCGGAACGACGACCGUCGUCCAAGCUAUGCUCAGCUCACUCCACCACCACCACUCCUCCUCCUCCUCCGACACCGACACCAACAAUGGCAACAACAAGAACGGCAGCAGCGGCGUCCUCGCGGCGGCGGUGCCGUCCGCGCGGGACCUCGUGCUGGCCUGCGCCGACCUGCUGCAGCGCGGGGACCUCCAGGCCGCGCGCCGCGCCGCGGGGGUCCUCCUGUCCGCGGCGUCCCCGCGCGCCGACGCCGCCGACCGGCUCGCCUACCACUUCGCGCGCGCGCUCGCGCUCCGGGCGGAUGUCAGGGCCGCCGCCGUCGCCGCUGGCCGCGUCGUCGCCCCGGGCUUGGUGGCUUCCGCCGCUACUUCCUCCGCCUACCUCGCGUUCAACCAGAUCGCGCCCUUCCUGCGCUUCGCGCACCUGACGGCGAACCAGGCCAUCCUCGACGCCGUCGAGGGCGCGCGCCGAAUCCACAUCCUAGACCUGGACGCCGCGCACGGCGUCCAGUGGCCGCCUCUCCUGCAGGCGAUCGCCGAACGCGCCGACCCGGCCGCGGGACCGCCGGAGGUGCGCAUCACCGGCGCCGGCGCCGACCGCGACACCCUCCUCCGCACGGGCAGCCGCCUCCGCGCCUUCGCCCGCUCCAUCCAGCUCCCGUUCCACUUCACGCCGCUCCUGCUCUCCUGCGCCGCUACCCAUCAUCAUCAGCACGUCGCCAGCGGGAGCACCACGACGACCACCAAUUCGAGCGCGGCCUCGAGCCUGGAGCUGCACCCGGACGAGACGCUGGCUGUCAACUGCGUCAUGUUCUUGCACAAGCUAGGCGGGCAGGACGAGCUUGCCGCCUUCUUGAAGUGGGUGAAGGCCAUGGCCCCCGCCGUGGUGACCGUCGCGGAGAGGGAGACAAUCGGCGGGGGUUUCGACCGCAUCGACGACCUGCCACAGCGGGCCGCGGUUGCCAUGGACCACUACUCGGCCGUGUUCGAGGCGCUCGAGGCGACUGUGCCGCCGGGGAGCCGGGAGCGGCUAGCGGUGGAGCAGGAGGUGCUCGGCAGGGAGAUCGACGCCGCGCUGGAUGCCUCCGGUGGGAGGUGGUGGCGCGGGCUCGAACGGUGGGGAGCCGCGGCGCGCGCCGCCGGAUUCGCGGCGCGGCCGCUCAGCGCGUUCGCCGUGUCGCAGGCGCGGCUGCUGCUGCGGCUGCACUACCCGUCGGAGGGCUACCUCGUGCAGGAGGCGCGCGGCGCGUGCUUUCUCGGGUGGCAGACGCGGCCACUGCUGUCCGUGUCGUCGUGGCAGUAGCCCACCACCGCCACUGUGGACGAGCCUUCUACCGUACCUGCCGCGUGCAUGCAUUCAUGCCGCCAUUGCCGGCGGCGGCGGCGACGGACUAGGGUUUGGCUCGCUCUCACUAGUCAUCACUACCGCAUAUAUAGAGCUAGAGUAUAUAUAUGAGAGCAUUGCAUUUUGUAGCAAUAAUAUUGGUGGUUACUUGUUACGUACGUAUUUAGCAAGAUCUCAUGGUGAUUUUGGAGGAUGAUGAUGAGUUUGUUGGGUUAAUUGCAAGGAGGAAACCCUAACCCUAGCUUGCUGUGGUUUAAUUGCUGUUAAUCUUAGCUGCUUGGAUGGAUGGAUGGUUGGUUGAUUAAUACUCUCUUGUUGAUUUGAGGCGUUCAGUUCAUAUAUAGCCUUGCAUGCAUGGAAUGGCGGCAAGUGAAGGGGUUGGCCUUUAGGCUUGGUUAGGCUAGCAAUUGCUUCAAAUCGGCUUUGCUAUAUAUAUCUAUUUCUUCUUUCAUUUGUUUCUCUCGGUAGCUCAUGUGAGCAUUCUAUAUUUCUAUAUACAUAGUUUAAUUACUAAGGAGAUUUUUUUGUCUAUUUUUGUUGGAGACCGACCUAUUGCAUUGUUAUUGUUAUUUGUUAAUAAUUUUGAUGUGAGAGAUCCUGUUACUCUAGAUUGUCCUUCUUCUCGAUACAUAUUUAUUUGAGAGAGGUUUUGUUUAAGUUGGACGUGUGAUCUUGCAGAAUGUCCUCCUCUGACCGUUCUUCAUUUUUAUUCAUGUGUCAUGCACUACCGGAAAACCGGACGUUGCCGUGUGCCCUCAUGUUUGCCGUGAGCAAUACGUCGGGCACACGGCAAAGAGGCGAUUUGCCGUGUGCCACCCAGGCCAACACACGUCAAACAUUCGGCACUCGGCGUUUACGUCCUUCGCCGUGUGCUAAACAGAAGAGCACACGGUGAAAUCAAUAGAUUUGCCGUGUGCCGAAGAAAAACACACGGCGAAAGUUAAACACACGGUGAAGGAGCUAUUUGCCGUGUGCUAGCACGGGGCUCACAGCAAAAUUCUGACGCCGUCGGCCACCGUUGGCUGCCGUCAACUCUUUGCCGUGUGCCGUCGUGACGUACCACGCCCAGUACCUUUUUCGGAAGGUGACCAAGGAACAAGCGAGAACCAUGUCGCUGACCAAGGAAGAAUACAUGAAGGUAAAUGUGCAACAAUAAUAAUAUUUUCCUUAAGUAACCUUUAUAUGAUCUUCUUAUAUGUCACAUGCUUGAUGGCGUGUAGGUUCCUCCGUGGUGGUGCAAUACGAAAAUCCAGUGCUGGGAGAUGAUGGUGGACAGGUGGUUCGACCCUGAGUGGCAGGAGGCGCACAAUCAAGGCAGGGAGCGGCGCGCCAUGAUGCAAGGUCCAUCGCACCAUCAAGGCAGUCUUAGCCUUGAUGCAUGGAAAGCUAAAUGGGUAAGUUGAAUCCAUUUUUUGUCCUAAUGCUUAAUUUGGCAUUACUUAUAAUCAUUGUGUUAUUUCUUUUUCAGUCGAAUGCACAUGGUGGUGAGCAAAUUACCAACUUCCAGGCGUAUGCUAUGGGGCACCAGACCAAGUACUCGACAGCCGCUCGCUAUGACCCAGCUGCCCCCGCUUCGUCGUACAGCAACCCCUCCGUCCACGCACGCCUCACUCAGUACAUAGAGACGGCAAAGGAGGUAUAUGGGCCAGAGUACGAUCCCGCCACCCACGACAUUGAUGGAGAAGUCGUCAUGAGGGCGGGAGGAGGAAAGGUUCGUGGCCGGUACAUGAUUGGCCACGGCAGCUUGGAUUCUGGCGAGGUUCCUAGCCUAUCCCAGAUCCGAGCAAGGAGCACAGGCACGAGCGCGCCCAUACGCCAACGACCAAACACUACGAUGAACAUUGUGGCGGACCUCCAGGUAAUUUCUAUUUUAUUCGCCAUUCAUUGAUUUCGACAUAUGUUUGCUUCACAUUGUAACAUUGCCGUCAAUUGUGUAGGAGCGGCUGGCAGAAUCGGAGAGGCAAAGGGACGAAGAAAGGAUAAGGAGGGAGGAAGAAGCGCAGGCUAUGCAAGCCAGGAUGAAUGCAAUGUACGAGUACUUGCAAAACCUUGCACCUGCUAUUGGUCAACCUCCUCCGCCAGCUAUGUUGUUCCAACCUCAAACUCCUCCUUUCAGCACUCCUGUGAGUUUGGCUUUUAUUUAUAAUUUUUGUUAAGUUCAUAUAUCCGUUGUCACAAAUCACACGUGUAUUUCUAACCUUUGUCUGACACAAGCAACAUAUUUAUCUUGUGCAGAAUCAGUCGGCGGCGUCAAACAAUCCACCUCCUGGGCAACAAGGGGAACAAGGUGGACCGUCGAGGUAGGUGGAUGAUGGACUUUGUGAUGGUUGUGAUAAUGGACUUGUGAAGGAUGUGAUGUACUUGUGAAUGAUUUGUGAUGGUUAUGGACAUUUGAAGGAUGGAUUGUUAUGGAUUUGUUCGGAUUUGUGAUAUAUAUGUCGUAUGUGAGCUCUAAAUGUUAUUUGUGAUAUAAAUGUGAUCUGUGAUGGUCUGAGUAUAUAUAUAUAUAUGUGAUUUGUGUGUUUCUUUUGAUGGGGAAGCAAAUAAACAAACCAAAAAAAAAAUUUGACCAAAUUCGCCGUGUGCAGCACACGGCAUAGAGGUCCUUUGCCGUGUGUCCGCGGCAUGGCACACGGCAAAGAGGCCUACCAGAGCCACCUGGGAAGCGUCUUUGCCGUGUGCCGCAGGAUUUGCCGUGUGCUGUAGCCACGACACACGGCAAAACAGGCCAAAUUCGCCGUACGUUGCUCACGGUAAAGAAAUCUACCGAAACUCUAUUUAAAAUUAUUUUCUGAUUUUUUUAAUACACACUUUGCCGUGUGCUGGCUGAGUGGGCACACGGCAAUGUUUAUUUUCAGAUUUUUUUUAAUGAAAGGUUUGCCGUGUGCUGCCUGAGGGGGCACACGGCAAAGACGUUUUUCUUUUUUUAAAAAAUAAUUACUUUGCCGUGUGCCCGGUGAGCUGGCACACGGCAAAGCUUGCCGUUACGCAGCCCGCGGCGUUAAGUCACUUUUGUGUGCCGAGUGCCGUGCCAAGCGCACGGCGUCAUGUUUUGCCGUGUGCCCGACAGAAGGCACACGGCAAAGAAGCCGUUCGCCGACUGGCCCUGUGCCGUGCGCGUUUUGCCGUGUGCCCCUCACGGCGUAAGUUUUGCCGUGUGCCUGAGGCACUUUGCCGUGUGCCCCAGGCACACGGCAAAGCACGCAAAUCCGGUAGUGAUGUGUGUACAAUAGUUUAUUUUAAACUAUAUCGGAGGCAUGGAGGAGGAGGAUCUUCUAGCUCCUAGCUAGCUCACUUGCAUGGCUUGGUUAUAUAAACAUUCCAGCACUUCACUUGCCUGUUGGCUCUUGAUGCCGUUGUUUGUAUUUAUAUCCAAUCAUGCGUGCUUUGGCUAGCACUAGCCAUAAACUAAUGGCCAUUUUGGUAGUCUGUUUGUGUGGGUGUAAUCAUCACUCCCGCGGUGUUGCAACUUGCAACAGGCCACAAUAUAUAUGCAUAUAUGUAUAUAUACAUAGUAGAUGCUAAGACAACCUAGUGUUUUUCUAAUGUGCUCUUGGCAGAAAGAAAAUUGGUGUGUCUCCUCUUCUGCCCAGGGAGAAGGGGUUUGGGUUCUUGUUUUCUGUGUUAUGCCCCAGAUAUGCUGGUAAGCUGUCUUUGGGAGGGCAUGGCAGUGGCAUGAUCCCAUGCAUCAAUGCCAACCCUAAUCCCUGCCCCCUGUCCCCUCAAACAAAAUCAUGGGAUUUCUCAAAACCAGGCCACCCCUUUUGGUGGCCAGCUUGCUCCUACCCGGCCUUAAUCCCCUCUUCUCUCUCCUGGCUAUGUUCCCUGCCCCUCUUCUCUGUUCUCUGCUCUCUGUGAAAAGAUCAUUCCCUUUUGGAAGGCCCCAUCUUCUCUUCUUGAAUUCUUUUCUCUCUCCAUUUCCUUGGGAUCUUUGCAUGCAUGCAUGGCUUCUUAAUUUGUUCCUCAAAGAGAGAACCAUGGUAUGCCCUACUACUACUUUGCAUUUGAUUCCUUCGAUGCUUGCUUGUCUCUCAUGUUUAUUUAUAUAAUAUAAGUAGGUAGAUUGGUACCACUCCUUAAAGUUUAUACCCACGCACUACAGUUAUGUUUGCAUGUAGGAACUUGGGAAAAUGGAAAUUAACAGAAUGAGUGAAAAAGACAGGUACAAGAAAAUUUGCAAGAGUUCUCAGAGCAUCUCUGACUACUUUAUCAAUUCAGAAUUUCGUUCUUUGAAAAAUUAACAUAAUAUAAUUAACAUAUGCUCUUUUGCUUUCUUUUAGUGCGACUUCCAAAAAUGAUAAUAUAAUGGAGGGUUUGCCAGGAUUAUCUAUCUAGACCAUAGAUGUACCAUCGUAUCAUUUUCAGCUUACCUUUGUUAGAAGCAAAUCUAGUUGGUGCUCACAAGAGAAUACAAUUUAUUGUUUGCAAGCAUAACUUUGUACUUCAAAACAAUUAAACAUUACCUUUUUUGGAAGUAUCAAAUAAUUGUUUUUGGUAUAUUAUUAGCACCAGUCCAUUGUAGAAAGCAAGAAGAAAACAAAGAGCGAAAGUAUCUAUACAUUUAAGGUAUAUAUAGUUCCAUGCUUACUCUAGCUUCAAACUGUAUCUAGUAUAUAUAUAUUACUUUUUGUCACGCCGCCUAUUUUUGAACUUAAAUAUACCAUGUAUGCAUCAACCUGAUGAUAUAUAAAAGAAAACAAUGUAAAUGCCAUCUUUCUGCACUUUUAGUGGCCCAAAUUUUAUUUCACAGGAACUAAUUAAUAGGAGAGACAGAUGCAAAAUUUGGUAUUCAUGCAUGCUUGCAAUAUAAUUAUGUGAGCCUCCUGCUUACUUAUUCUUAAACCUUUUGAGGUUAGAUUCAUUUCAAAAUCAUCGUGGAUGUUUCACAUAUAGCAAUAUUCAUCUCUUCAGUAAAAAAAAGUGGGAAAUAUAUGCAUGCUUGGCAGCUAGGUAUUCACAUAUCUUUAAACAAUUCGGCAUUUGGCACAGAAUUUUGGCCGAAGGGGCAGUACAUCCUAUAGUGUUUUUGCUGUUGUUCCUGCAUCGCCAGGGUAUCUUCAUCUCGAUCUAACUUAUUCUACCUUAAUUCCUUUUGUUUGGAGGGACAGAAAAGCAUCUCUUAUUUUAUUUAUAAUCUGUAUCUAAUAUUAAGACAUAAAGAAAAAAAUUUCAGUCGUUUUUUUUUUACUUCCCACACCCACACACACCCUCAUGCUCUUAGUGCUCUCUGUAUGUGAAUUGAACUCAUGACCCAUUACUCAUAGUCUCAUACAAGUUGCUAGAACAAUUCGCAUCAAUUUCAAGACGCUUCAGCUGUCAAGCAACUUAUUAAUUAUGUAUUGGAUGAAGAGAUGACGAUCUUUGGAUAUAUAUUUGAGCUCCAAAUCGUAUCUAAGUGACCGUGCACAACACACACAAGCACAUUUGCUAGUUAUAUGUAUAUACUGCCCCAGCUAUAUACAUACAUCCCAGACAUAGUUAUACGGACUAUAUAUAUAUAUAUAUAUAUAUAUAUAUAUAUAUAUAUAUAUAUAUAUAUAUAUAUAUAUGCCUACUGGAGAUCCUAUAUUAUAUAUUGUAAAAUCACAUCGAGCACAAAAUGUCCAAACAUAACAAGCAGUCAUGCAUGCAUUCGUAGCCUCUUAUUAUAAAAAAACGAGGAAACACAGCAACGCACACUCGCGUAAAAAGGAGUGGCUGUAAUAAAAAAAAACAAGCGUGUUCUUAUCCUCUGAAAAGAAGUGACAAGAAAAGGGAUGUAGGACUGGAUGAAGCAAUUCUGCUAGCUGUCGCAUAGCAAAAAGUUUCUUCAUAGAAUUGUCACUCGAUCGAUCGGUGGAUCAUAUGCAUAGGCUUCGAUUACUCCCUGGAUUUUGAGAGAAUCUUCAACUGAACUUUUUUACGAUAUGAGAGAUUGAGAUGAUGUUAUGGGACGUGAACUUCGUCAACGUCCAAUGAAUCUUUAUCAACAUAUACCUUUGUAGUAAGCUUCCUGAAUGAUUGCCAUUCUUACUGAGUAGCUAGAUGGAGGAGUAGAUAGAUAGAUAGACAUAUAGCACGACCGAGACAGAGAUGGCUCACAUCAGCUAGCUAUAUAUACAGAGCUGCAGCUAGCUUCACCAUUCGUAAUGUGUCACAUGCGUCGUCGUCGAUCCUUUGUAGCUAUGGCACGCGGUUCAUCAUGAGGACAUUUGGCAUCUAGCUUAUUAUAAGUUCAUGCCGGGCGAAUUGUUCUUUUCUAUGUUUAAUUUUGACAGUAGGAUGGUAUUACAUAUAUUGCUUGAAAUAUCGAUCAACAAUAAUUGCCUUAUGUACGUAAUUCAGAUGCAAAUUUAACCACUUUUGUUUUUGCCUUGACGUCAAAUUAAAAUCCGUCACGAAUAAAAGUAAAAAGCAUCGUGAUCCGCAACAUCUUCCCGGCAAAAUCAUGCGUGCUACGGAUAGGCUUAUUAGGAGGAUGCAGAUGCAAUUAGUUGCAGUUACGUACUCCUACAGCAUAUUGAACAUUUCCUUUGCUUGUCAAAGAAACAGCAGACGCAAUCCACAGAAGUCGUCCCGCUGGUUAAGGCUGCCAGAUCAUAAAUUUUGCAGGCUACUGCUGCCUUCUAGUACUAGUACUAGAGAAGCUGAUGCUCUCCCUUGCCAUGCAUGCAUUUACUCUCUCAUGCAUAUGGCAGGGCAGCAGCUGCAUCAGUGACGACAGGCCAUGGAAAAGAAGAAUGUGUGUGUUCUCUGCUGACGCCGCCUUAGCAGCUAUGCUGUGGUGUCUUGUUCUACCAAGAUCAGAUUUUGUUUUUCUCUCAUAAUAAAUUAUCAUCAACAGCUAAAUGUCAGCAAGCUUCUUCAGUGCCAUAGAGGAGUACAGCAGACGUAUGGUGUGCUAGCAUACUAUACUUGGUUUCAAAAAAAAGUGAACCAGUACCACACUAGAGUUUUUCAGGUGUUUUGUAUGGAUUUCAGGCUCUGAUGGGACAUUACAUGUGUAAUGACAUAAUGUGGACACUGGAUAGUACAGGCGCCAUGAUUUCAGUAAGCAGCAUCUACACCAGUAGAAUAGAUGGAGUACUAGGGGCUGCUUCAGCACAAGAUAAUGAGUGCAAGGAAAGGGAAGCAAUGCAACUGACUUGCUUGCCCACCUGCUGCCUGAAUGCCUGAUGAAUGGCUGUGUCCAACAGCUAUGCAGCCAACAGGGUGGUACUCACAGCAUUCACUGCAAUGAUAGGACGACAGGAUCAGCACACAUCACAAUUCACAACUGUGCAGUAGACUUGCCAGAUCUCUGAUGAUUGGAUUCCGCUAGAUUUCUAGAGGAGCUAGCUACUAUCAGCUCUACUAGCUAGCUGCUUACUUCUAGUACACCAUUCGCGUUUCCAUGCAUGAAUCUUUGGGGAGCAUCGUACUGCUGGUAGUAGAAUCUUCAUAUACUCUUCUCUUUAAUCCACACUCAUGCAACCAUGCAUUCAUUGCUCAGAGCGAAGCUCCAUGAAUGAUACAGAAGAUCGAUGCAUGAGAGCAUUGCGCAUCAGUGAUCAAGUGUUAUGCUGCAUCUACCUGCCAGCUAGUCUGCUUUAAUUUGCAUGCCCCAGUUUGGUGUUUGCAGGACACACUAAAUUAAAUGAAGCCGAUCAUGUAUCUACGUAAUUGGGAAUUUUUAAUCUUCGCAAAAACCAAAAGCUAUACAUAGGUACGGAUAUAGCGAACAGAAAAUUGGAUGAUGGUUUGGGUCCCAUAUAUGCAUCUUUGUCAAGGGCAGAGGUCAAUCAGUGCAAUAUGUAUGCAUGCACCGCGAACAAAGUAUAUGAUCUUGGCGUCCAUCAUUAUCUCCAACAAUCGUUACCCAAAAUACAAUACCCAUUUAUCCUUUGGGUAGCGCUACAAGUAAAAGGUUUCAUACCUAUUUUUAGUCUUCUCCAACAACAAGACCUAAAAGACAACACUCUCUGCAAAUAGGUCUCAAGGAGAGAGGAUACCCAAAUUUGGUUAUGCCUCUCCUGAUACCUAAAAUGGGUCUGGUUUUUGGUACUACUCCCUCCAUUUAAAAUUAUAAGUCGUUCUAGUGGUUUUUAGGUAUAUUGUUUUUAGUAUACAACUAAGGCCUUGUUUAUAGUUUCUCACCCAAAAACUUUUCACCUAUCACAUCAAAUCUUUAGACACAUACAUAAAACAUUAAAUAUAGAUGAAAAAAAUAAUUGUACAAUUUAGUUUUAAAUCGCAAGACGAAUAUUUUAAGCCUAAUUAGUCCAUAAUUGAACACUAAUUGCUAUAUUUAUAAAUAUGCUUCAUUACUAAAAACCAAAAACUUUUUGAUUUUUGGCAGCAACUAAACAAGGCAUAAAUUAAUAUAAGUCAUGUCUGAAUAUAUAAUAAAAGCUAUGUAGCUAGUUACUAGUACCUAGAUAAGCUAGAAUAACUUAUAAUUUGGGAUGGAGUGAGUACUUCUUUUUAGGCCUUGUUUAGUUCCCAAAAAAUUUUGCAAAAUUUUUCAGAUUCCCCGUCACAUCAAUUCUUUAGACGUAUGCAUGGAGUAUUAAAUAUAGACGAAAAUAAAAACUAAUUGCACAGUUUGGUCGAAAUUGACGAGACAAAUCUUUUGAGCCUAGUUAGUUCAUGAUUGGACAAUAUUUGUCAAAUACAAACGAAAGUGCUACUAUUCCUAUUUUGCAAAAUUUUUUGGAACUAAACAAGGCCGAAUUGACAUUUCUAAGUUGUGACAGAUAUCUGAUACACUACGAUAAGUAUGAGUGUAUGCAUUUCUCAAACUAUGAGUAUGACUAUGCGCACAUAUGUUAGGGUCAAUUUAAUAGAGCUCCUCGAUCCUACUUUUAAUUCUCUGCAAGAGAAGUCAGGCCUUGUUUAGAUCCAAAAACUUUUUGAAUUUUGACACUGUAGCACUUUCGUUUUUAUUUGGUAAACAUUAUCCAAUUAUGGAGUAACUAGGCUUAAAAGAUUCGUCUUGUGAUUUACAGAUAAACUGUAUAAUUAGUUAUCUUUUUUAUCUAUAUUUAAUGUUCCAUGCAUGUGCCGCAAGAUUCAAUGUGAUAGGGAAUCUUGUAAAGUUUUGGAUUUUUUGGGUGUAUCUAAACAAGGCCUGAUUCUAUGAUUGAAAGUAAUUAUAUUAAUUCUACGAUAAUAUCUAUGUACAAGUGAUUUUGUGUACAUAGGUAGUGAACCAAGAUAAGUUGUAAUAUACUGUUGGUAGUUCCUCCACUACUAGAUUCAUUCAGAAGCGGAAGCUGCUCUCUAAAGUAUAGGUAGCUAGAGAUCUAAGUGUCAAUGGCAGGAUAUAUAGGAUUAAAAUUCCUUAAUAUAUUUUGAUGAAUUUAUGUGUCUACCCUGUUUGAGAUCCAAGCUACCAUUAAAUAAUACAUGCAUAGGCCCAAAUUUCUAUCAAAAAUCAGGCUCGCAAGCACUACUGGAAACUCGAAUACUUCAUUUUUCUGUGAGUUUUUCUCGACACGCACGGAAAAAUUCCAAUUAUUCUGUGGGUUUCAAAAUAUCCUCACAGAAAAAUACAAAUACCCACAAAAUAAUUAUAUGAUUUUUCUGUGCGUGACAAUACACACACAGAAAAAAUUGACACUCACAGAAAAAACACAUUUGGUGUGCGUUUCUGUAAAACGCACAGAAUAAAAAUUAAACACACAUAGAAAAAUUACAAUUAUUCUAUGAGUUUCUACAAAAAAAAAAACAAAGUAAACACACACAGAAAAUAGAACAAGCGCUCAUACUAACUUCAUAUGAAAAAGCGUAGUUUUUCUUUUUAAUCUCUCUCUAAAACUUGUAACUAGUCUUUUGCCCUCGUCCUAACUUCAAAUUUAAUGAUUUUUUUCUAAACUCUAGUAGUGAAUGAAGCUAGAAUGAGCUGCUUACCUUGCGCAUAGUUGAGUCAGCAGGGGCGUGGCGGUAGCAACAUUGGCGAGAGGUCAUAUGGUCGUCCUUGUUAGUAAUGCAAAGGCUCACCAAGGUCGUCAACUUAGGCCUCAUUUGGUUCAUCGUGGUAAACUUUAACUUCCGUCACAUCCAAUAUUUGGAUACGUGCAUAGAGUACUAAAUAUAUACUAUUUACGAAACUAAAGACACAACUAGAGAAAAAUUUAAAAGACGAAUCUUUUGAGCCUAGUUAGUCCAUAAUUGGACACUAAUUGCUAGAUAAAACAAAAAUACUACAGUGUCCGUUAAAUUUUAACAUCUCCAACCAAACAAGCCCUUAGGCUACGCCGGACGUGAGCAUGGGUACUGGCGUCGACGGCAAGCGAACACGCUAGUGAGGAGGAAUAAGCAUCAUCGGCACGAUGAUAAGCAGGAAUAGUGCUAAGGAGGAGUGGUGAGGAGUAGGCGCGCCCAAUACCACCAAUUGAUGGAGGCGGUGAGCGUGUGUAGUGAGACACCCCCAAAUUGGUGUCAAGGGAAUGGAAAUCCCAAUUUUCUAACCCCAUGUGGGACGACAUAUGUAUUGGACGAUGCCAUCCGCGUCAACUGCUAGAUACGACCGGCGGUGAAGCUAGUGAACACCAUUGAUAGAGCUUGGGAUGAAUGUACAUGCUUAUAUAGAGAGCACUAGACACAUGACAAACCUAAUCGCAAUGAGCCUAAUGUAUGAUAGGGUGAUGUUAACAUAUUGACCGCAGUAUCAUGCGGUGUUCGCUAAUAAGGUGCACAAUUUGAACUUCUUGCAUGUAUUCUAAUUGAAUGAUAUCUAAUUGGAGAACUUAUGUGCUAAUGUUGUCAUGACCCGAUGGUUGUUCCAAAUUAAAACCUUGUGAAAACCCCUUUAGAAAACCCAACACUUCAAUCGACAAAAUAAAAGGUCUGAAAGAGCAUCUAGGCCCCUAAGUGAUUUCGGUGAUUAAUGACAUUGUUGAGUACUAUGACUAACGUGUGUUUUGCAGAGGCAAAGUCAUAGGUAAGGUCAUGGUAAACAGGGACUCGAUGGACAGGGACGUACAUGCCUACUUAAUAGUGGAAAUCGUUUCGGUUUUCAAAGGAUGGAUGUACAUCGUCAAGACUAGACUAGGUCUAAGUGCCAUAUGGUGAAGAAGGGCACUUAGAGUAGUUUAGGACCUUGUUUUUCCUUUGACCGUACUAUUAAGAGGGGCUUUGAUCUAGUAGCUUGACUUAGGCAAGGCUUUAGGUUUAGGUGUGGUGCACACUUGGUAAACCUAGCACUAGGCAGCUCAGAGAUAGUCCUUAGAUCGAGAGGAACAAACUUCGUGUUGGAGCGAUCGCGUUUCGACGAAGUUUGGGUGCCCAAAGGGGCACCGGACGCUGCACCGGACGCUCUGUGAGUGCGUCCGGUGAGGUCCUUAGCCGUUGGAACAGUUUGGUGCUUAGGGUUAGGCACCGGACGCUGGCACCGGACACACCGAGCAGCGUCCGGUCCCUUACCCAGGGAGCUUGCAAUGUUUCCCUGAGCACCGGACGCUAGCACCGGACGCACCGGGUAGCGUCCGGUCCCAUGCGCAGGGAGCAUGUAAGGUUUCCCCGAGCACCGGACGGUGCACCGGACGCUGAGAGUUAGCGUCCGGUGACCUGUCAGAGAAAAGCGCAGGUAGCCGUUAUGUCACACCGGACGCUCCGUGCAGUGCGUCCGGUGCAACAUAAUGUGCGUUCGGUGACCCCAUUUUCAGUGAAAAACGGUUGGCGGACCUUUGGACUUCGUGGAUAGUAUUUAUACUUCUCCACCUCGUCCAUGAGACCUCUCUUGUCCAUUUGAACAUCAGAGAAACUUGUUGUGGAGCAAGAGAGUUGCAAAGAGCCUAGAGAGGAUUGGUUUUUGAGUGAUUUCUUGAGAGAAUCCUCCUCUAGUGAGUUCCAAGAGUCAAGUGUGCAUCCACCACUCUCUAGAGCCUUGUUUGGGUCAAGUGAGAGUUCUUUGCUUGUUACUCUUGGUGAUCGCCAUCACCAAGACGGUUCGGUGGUGAUUGGAGGCACGAAGACCACCCGGAGUUCUUGUGGGUGGCUCGUGUCAAGCUUGUGAGCGGUUUUGGGCGAUUCACCGCGACGGAGUGUCGAAGAAUCAGCCCGUAGAGAGCACUUGGUCCUUGCGCGGACCAAGGGGGAGCAAGACCCUUGCGCGGGUGCUCCAACGAGGACUAGUGGAGAGUGGCGACUCUCCGAUACCUCGGCAAAACAUCGCCGAGCACUUUCUUCCACUACUCCUUUACUUUCUAGCAUUUACUUUGUGUUUUUACAUUCUUAGAAUUGCGAUGCUAGAAUAGGAUUGGAACUAGGUUGCAAAACUUUUUAUCCGGUAGCUCUCUAAGUCACACUAGGCACAAGGGGUUGAAUUGGAGCUUAUAGGUUGCUUAAAUUUUUAGAGAAGCCCAAUUCACCCCCCCUCUUGGGCAUCUUGAUCCUUUCAAUUGGUAUCGGAGCCUAGUGCUCACUAUUUAGGCUUCACCGCCUAGAGAAAGAUGUCUAACGGGGAUGGACCGCCACCCAUGUUCGAUGGGGAUGACUUCCCGUAUUGGAAAAUACGGAUGGAGUCAUACCUUGAGGCAUGCGAUGUAAAGUGCCUAAAAGCCGCGACCGAAGGGUUUGCCCCUCCGGAAAGAGCCACCGCUCUUACUCCACAAGAGCAAGAAAACGAGAAGUGGAAUGCAAAGGCCAAAAACCACAUCUUUAGAGGUCUUUGCAAAGAAGUGUUCAACCGUGUUCGGAGCCACAAAACCGCCAAUGAACUUUGGAAGGAACUUUGUGCGCUCCAUGAGGGAACUAAGAGUGAACGCGAGGAACGCUAUCACCUAGUGAUGAACAAGCUUAAUACAUUUGAAAUGCUUCCUAAAGAAAAUUCUAAUGAAAUGUAUUCUCGCUUGAAUGUCAUUGUAGAGGAGCUAAAUGGACUUGGGCUUACACAAAUGAGUACGGCGGAUGUUGCAAGGAAGAUACUAUGUGUGCUUCCCAUUGAGAAAUAUGGGCACAUAGUAACCGUGCUCCAUCAAGGCGAUCUUUCCACCGCUACACCAACCACCAUAUUGGGGAAGAUCAAUGCUCAUGAGAUGUACAUGCACAUGAACCCUCAAGAUGGCUCCUCAUCGGCCAAGAAAGAAAAGAAGGACUUGGCUCUCAAAGCUUCUCACAAGGGCAAAGCCAAGAAGAUUGAAGUUGAGUCAUCAACUUCAAGUGAUGAUGAUGCAUGUAUUGCCCUCUUGGUGAGAAGAACCACCAAGAUGUUGAAGAAGCUCAACAAGAAUGGAGUCAACUUUGACUCCAAGAAGAAGAAGUUCUUCACAAGUAGCAAGAGGAAGCCCAUCUCCGAGAUGGAUUGCUACAAUUGUGGUGAGCUUGGUCAUCUUGCUCAUCAAUGUCCAAAGCCCAAGAAGGACAAGUACAAGAAGAAGAACAAAGAGCAAGAUGACUCAAGUGAUGAUGAGAAAAAUGACAAGAAGCAAUACAAGAAGAAAGGUGGCAAGAAGAAGGAGCACUACAAGAAGAAAAAUGGCAAGGCUUAUAUUGUUGGUGAUUGGCUCACCGACAUUGAAAGCUCAAGUGGUGACUCCUCCGGCAAUGAAAGUGAUGAUGAGAAGGUUGCCGCUAUCGCCAUCGAUGCUCCAUCACCAUCAUCUUCACCACCAUCUACAUCCUCUACACACCUAUGCCUUAUGGCCAAAGGUGACCGGAAGGUACAAAGUGAGGAUGAGAGUAGUGAAAGUGAUAGUGAAUAUGAAUCACCUUCUUAUGAUGAACUUGUAAAAUUGCUAAACAAAUACACAAAAGUCAUAAGAAAGACUAGAAGUGAAAAUGAAAAGCUUGAACUUGAAAAUGAUACACUUCUAGCAAAGCUUAACUCUAGUGAUGAGCUUAGAGAACAAAAUGAGAUCAUGACCACUAAGCUCAAGGAGCUCAAACUCUCUCUAAAAGAGCUCAAAGAAAAACAUGAUAAACUUGAGAGUGUUCAUGAUGAGCUUAUCACUAGAUAUAGAGCAAUGAAAGAAGAACUAACAACUCUAAAAGCAAACUAUGACAACCUUGAGAUUGCUUAUGAACUUGCAAUUGAUGAAACACAUGUUGCUACUAACAAUGUUGCUAAGCUUGAUGUAGCCACAUCUUGUGAUGACUUACUUGUGGAGAGCACAAGCAAAUGUGUAAAUUGCAAGGGCAAGAAAGUGGUAGUGGCCGAGAGUUAUGAGGACACUAUCAAGCUCAAGGAUGAAAUUGUCAUGCUCAAGAAAGAAUUGCAAGACCAAUCCAAGCACAACACCUUUGUGAUUGAGUCACUUGAUCAAGACAAGAAACUUGCAUAUGAGAACAAGUUACUCAAAGAAGAAAAUCAAUAUCUCAAGCUUGGUUUGAUGUAUGACAAGCAAGAAGAAGAUGAGUCAUUCAUCUUGGAUGAGUUAGCUAGCAACAAUGACCCAAUCAUCAAGAAGCUAACUCAAGAGAACAACAAGCUCAAGAAAGAGAAGGAACAUCUAACCAUGGGGUUAGCAAAGUUCACAAAAGGGAAGGACCUUCAAAGUGAGUUUUUCAUGAACACCGUCAUGAAGAUGGACAAAAGUGGGAUUGGCUAUAAGGCUCAUCAAACAAAGCUCAUCAAGUCUCUAGUCACUCAUGAUCAAGCAAGCAAGCCAAAGCCAAAAAGAUGUUUUGAGUGUGGUCAAGAAGGACACUUUGCUCAUGAGUGUAAGGCACCACUACCACCACCCUUGCCCAAGCAUGCAAGACCAUUUGCCUUCAAUGCUCAUUACAUUGUAAGAAAAGACAAGUGUGGCAAGGUCAAGGUUAGCUUCAUGGGGCCACCAAACAAGCAAAGGCCAAAAAAAAUUUGGGUGCCAAAGCAACUAGUAGAGAAGGUCAAGGCCCUAAGCAAAUGUGGGUCCCAAAAUCUCAAGCUUGAUCUCUUGUGUGUAGGUGAACUACAAGACCGGUGGAUCACAUUGGGUAAUUGAUAGUGGUUGCACUCAACAUAUGACCGGAGAUCCCCGGAUGUUCACCUCUCUUGAUGAAGAUGUUGACAACCAAGAGAAGAUCACAUUUGGUGACAAUUCAAAAGGGAAAGUCAAGGGACUAGGAAAGGUUGCUAUAUCAAAUGACAACUCCAUCACCAAUGUGCUCUAUGUGCAAUCCUUGAGUUUCAACUUGCUUUCGGUUGGACAACUUUGUGAUCUUGGAUUUGAAUUCCUUUUCAAGAAGAAGGAAGUAAUUGUGACCAAGGAAGAUGACAAUGAAGUGAUAUUCAAAGGCUUCCGGCACAACAACUUAUAUGUGGUUGACUUCUCAUCCAAUGAAGUUAAUGUCAAGACUUGCUUAUUCACCAAGACUUCUCUUGGGUGGUUGUGGCAUAGAAGGUUAGCACAUGUUGGAAUGGGCACACUCAAGAAGUUGAUGAAGAAAGAAUUGAUUAGGGGCUUGAAGGAUGUGACAUUUGAAAAGGACAAGCUUUGUAGUGCAUGUCAAGCGGGCAAACAAGUUGCAAACACUCAUCCAACCAAAGCCUAUCUCUCCACUUCAAGAGUGCUUGAGCUACUUCACAUGGAUUUGUUUGGACCAACCACAUAUGCUAGUCUUGGAGGCAACAAAUAUUGUUUGGUCAUAGUUGAUGAUUUCUCCCGGUACACUUGGACAUUCUUCUUGCAAGACAAGGCCGAAGUUGCAUCAAUAUUCAAGAAAUUUGCAAAGAAUGCCCAAAAUCAAUUUGAUGUGAAGAUCAAGAAAAUUAGAAGUGACAAUGGCAAAGAGUUUGACAACACCAACAUUGAAGAAUAUUGUGAUGAAGUGGGAAUCAAGCAUGAGUUCUCCUCAACAUACACACCACAACAAAAUGGGGUUGUAGAAAGAAAGAACCGGACAUUGAUCACCUUGGCAAGAACAAUGCUAGAUGAGUAUAACACUUCGGAGAAGAUGUGGGCCGAGGCAAUCAACACGGCAUGCUAUGCUUCAAACCGGCUCUUUCCACAUAAGUUCCUAGAGAAGACACCAUAUGAGUUGCUCAAUGGGAAGAAGCCCGAUGUCUCAUUCUUUAGAGUGUUUGGGUGCAAGUGCUACAUCUACAAGAAGCGCCAACACUUGGGAAAGUUCCAAAGAAGAUGUGACAUUGGCUACUUGGUUGGCUAUUCAUCAAAGUCCAAAGCAUAUAGGGUCUUUAACCAUGCCACAAACAUGGUUGAAGAAACAUUUGAUGUUGAAUUUGAUGAAACUAAUGGCUCCCAAGGAGCAAGUGAUAAUCUUGAUGAUGUAGGUGGUGAACCAUUGAGGGAUGCCAUGAAGAACAUGCUGGUGGGAGACCUCAAGCCUAAAGAAGAUGAUGAUGAUGUGCAAGUCAUUGAGCCACCAUCCACCUCACAAGGUCCACAAGAUGAAGACAAGGAUGUGAGAGAUGCUCAUGAAGACACCCUAGUCACUCAUGAGCAAGCGGUGGCACAAGCACAAGAUGUUGAUGCUCCACAACCAACCCCUCAAGUGGCACCAAGAAGAACAUCACAUCUCCUCCAAGAUCACUCUCAAGAUCUCAUCAUCGGGAGUCCAUCACGUGGUGUAACUACUCGUUCUAGACAUGCUUUAUUUAUUGAACAUCACGCUUUUGUGUCUCUUGAAGAUGAACCAAAGACUAUAGAGGAAGCUCUUCGUGAUGCGGAUUGGACCAUGGCCAUGCAAGAGGAGUUGAACAACUUCUCUCGCAACCAACUAUGGACACUUGAAGAGCGACCCAAAGAUGCAAGAGUGAUUGGAACAAAGUGGGUCUUCCGGAACAAGAAGGAUGAUCAAGGCAAGGUGGUGCGCAACAAGGCAAGACUUGUGGCAAAAGGCUUUUCACAAGUGGAAGGUCUUGACUUCAGUGAAACGUUUGCACCGGUGGCAAGACUUGAAGCAAUCCGUAUCCUACUUGCAUAUGCAUCAAGUCAUGAUAUCAAAUUAUUUCAAAUGGAUGUGAAAAGUGCCUUUUUAAAUGGUUAUAUUAAUGAGCUUGUCUAUGUUGAGCAACCCCCCGGUUUUGAAGACCCUAGGUACCCCAAGCAUGUCUACCGGUUGUCCAAGGCACUCUAUGGUCUCAAGCAAGCUCCUAGAGCUUGGUAUGAGAGGCUUAGGGACUUCCUCAUUGAGAAGGGCUUCAAUAUUGGGAAAGUUGACACAACACUCUUCACCAAGAAAAUGAAUGGGGAAAUCUUCAUUUGCCAAGUUUAUGUUGAUGAUAUUAUUUUUGGCUCUACUAAUGAAGAUUUUUGCAAGGAAUUUGGUGAUUUGAUGUCCAAAGAGUUUGAGAUGUCCAUGAUUGGCGAGCUAUCCUUCUUCCUAGGAUUUCAAGUCAAACAAAUGAAGGAAGGGGUUUUCAUCUCUCAAGAGAAGUACACUCAAGAUCUUCUCAAGAGGUUCAAGAUGAUGGAUUGCAAGCCAAUCAAGACUCCCAUGGCAUUAAAUGGGCAUCUCGACUUGGAUGAGGGAGGUAACCCUAUUGACAAGACUCUCUAUCGCUCCAUGAUAGGAAGUCUACUCUACCUCACCGCAUCUAGGCCCGAUAUAAUGUUUAGUGUGUGUAUGUGUGCUAGAUAUCAAGCAAUGCCUAUGGAAUCUCACUUGAUUGCGGUCAAGAGAAUUCUUAGGUAUCUAAAAUACACACCUUGCCUAGGCUUGUGGUAUCCCAAAGGUGCAAGAUUCCAACUUGUAGGCUAUUCCGAUUCGGAUUAUGCCGGGUGCCGGAUUGAUAGAAAAAGCACAUCCGGCGGGUGCCACUUCCUAGGUAGAUCACUUGUCUCUUGGAUGUCAAAGAAACAAAAUAGUGUUGCUUUGUCAACGGCCGAGGCGGAAUAUAUAGCCGCCGGUGCUUGUUGUGCACAAAUACUCUACAUGAAACAAACCUUGCUAGACUAUGGAAUAGUACUAGACAAAGUACCUUUGUUGUGUGACAACGAAAGUGCCGUAAAACUUGCAAACAACCCGGUUCAGCACACCCGCACAAAACAUAUUGACAUCCGCCACCACUUCCUUAGGGAUCACGUUGCUAAAGGUGACAUAUCCCUAGAGAAUGUGGGAACAGAAAAUCAAUUGGCGGAUAUCUUCACAAAACCCCUAGAUGAAGCUAGGUUUUGUAUGUUGAGAAAUGAACUUAAUGUGCUUGACCUAUCCAACUUCACUAAAAGAUAAAAGUUGUGUGUUGAAUCUUGUAAAUAACUUUUGCUUUGCAUAUCAUGCAUACUUAAAACUAAAAUUCAACUUGCAUGUAGGGCUUGUCUAACAUGGUUAAGAUAACCCCUUUUGAGUGUGUGAAAAAGCUUAACCUUGGAUCAAACUUGACAAGCACUAGUUUACUUUCAAGUAUUGCACUACAACUCAUUUCAUUUGCAUGCUUGUUAGUUGACCGUUUCUUUUCGGUUAUUCGUUGAGCAUCCGCUGUGUUCGUCCAUAGAUAGGGGGAGCAUUCCAAGCUCAUUAUGUUUCAAACCCCUAGCUUUAUGGCCAUACGAUGCUCCUUGGUGUUUCUCUUGAACUAUUUUCAUAAAAACUACUAAGCCUAUG
rnacentral:lncRNA from 1 species